GUUUCAUACUUCACAGGAUAAAUUAUAUCGCACACUGCAGCGAUCGAGUGCAUUAUUGUAUAAAAUUUGUCAACUACCUUGAAUGCUUCUCGAAAUUUGUUGGACAUGAUGUUGUAGAGAAGCGGAUUGAUCGUUGUGGACAGGUUUCCUAUUUCACAGUGGAACGCCUGGGUACCUCACAUAACAUGUGACCUCAGGAAUACAUCCUUGAUGGAAUAGCUGAAAACAUGAGCAAACUGGAUAUUUUAUCAAAGACGGUGCAAUAUACAUGCAGUACAGGAAACAGAUAGGCAGCCCACGUAGCAGUUUGGCCCCAAAUCAGAAAUACAAGACUAUCUACCGUACAACUACAGAAGCAACCAUCAUAUGGGCCAAGUGAAUGAAUAUUUAUAAAUAAUUGACGAUAUACACAUGAUCAUAAUAAUUAUUUGAUACGAUCUGGAUUAUAAGUAGUGUCCAUAAAAUUGUAGAGCGUUUAUCAUAAAAAUGAAUAUAUUAGUGAAAUUGAAUUUAUAAUAAGCAUCAUAAUGUCCUAACAUGUAUUUCUGACCGUUAAUUUAUUAUUAAACAUCAAACACUAUCAAUG
rnacentral:misc_RNA from 1 species